UACGUAGGUGGCGAGCGUUGUCCGGAUUUACUGGGCGUAAAGAGCGCGCAGGCGGUCGUACAAGUCGCGUGUGAAAGCCCCCGGCUCAACUGGGGAGGGUCACGCGAUACUGUUCGACUCGAAGGCAGGAGAGGGAAGCGGAAUUCCCGGUGUAGUGGUGAAAUGCGUAGAUAUCGGGAGGAACACCAGUGGCGAAGGCGGCUUCCUGGCCUGUUCUUGACGCUGAGGCGCGAAAGCCAGGGGAGCGAACGGG
rnacentral:rRNA from 1 species